AUUGAACGCUGGCGGUAUGCUUAACACAUGCAAGUCGAACGAGUGGCGGACGGGUGAGUAAUGUAUGGGGAUCUGCCUGAUGGAGGGGGAUAACUACUGGAAACGGUAGCUAAUACCGCAUACCAUCAGAUGAACCCAUAUGGGAUUAGCUUGUAGGUGAGGUAACGGCUCACCUAGGCGACGAGCCCUAGCUGGUCUGAGAGGAUGAUCAGCCACACUGGGACUGAGACACGGCCCAGACUCCUACGGGAGGCAGCAGGGGGGAAUAUUGCACAAUGGGCGCAAGCCUGAUGCAGCCAUGCCGCGUGUAUGAAGAAGGCCUUCGGGUUGUAAAGUACUUUCAGUCGGGAGGCGUUACCGACAGAAGAAGCACCGGCUAACUCCGUGCCAGCAGCCGCGGUAAUAC
rnacentral:rRNA from 1 species